rnacentral:rRNA from 1 species
CACGUAGGGUCCGAGCGUUGUCCGGAAUUACUGGGCGUAAAGCGUGCGCAGGCGGUCGUACAAGUCGCGUGUGAAAGCCCCUGGCUCAACUGGGGAGGGUCACGCGAUACUGUUCGACUUGAAGGCAGGAGAGGGAAGUGGAAUUCCCGGUGUAGUGGUGAAAUACGUAGAUAUCGGGAGGAACACCAGUGGCGAAGGCGACUUCCUGGCCUGUUCUUGACGCUGAGGCGCGAAAGCUAGGGUAGCAAACGGG